AUUGAACGCUGGCGGCAUGCUUUACACAUGCAAGUCGAACGGUAACAGGGUGCUUGCACCGCUGACGAGUGGCGAACGGGUGAGUAAUGCGUCGGAACGUGCCGAGUAGUGGGGGAUAACGCAGCGAAAGUUGUGCUAAUACCGCAUACGUACUGAGGUAGAAAGUGGGGGACCUUCGGGCCUCACGCUACUCGAGCGGCCGACGGAGGAUUAGCUAGUGGGUGAGGUAAAGGCUCACCUAGGCGACGAUCAGUAGCGGGUCUGAGAGGAUGAUCCGCCACACUGGGACUGAGACACGGCCCAGACUCCUACGGGAGGCAGCAGUGGGGAAUUUUGGACAAUGGGCGAAAGCCUGAUCCAGCCAUGCCGCGUGUCUGAAGAAGGCCUUCGGGUUGUAAAGGACUUUUGUCAGGGAGGAAAUCCCUAGUGCUAAUAACACUGGGGGAUGACAGUACCUGAAGAAUAAGCACCGGCUAACUACGUGCCAGCCGCCGCGGUAA
rnacentral:rRNA from 1 species